GGCCUCUUGUAAUCCACAAAUAAGAGGUCCAACCUGCCCAGUGACGAUAAGUUCAACGGCCGCGGUAUUUUAACCGUGCUAAGGUAGCGUAAUCACUUGUCUUUUAAAUGAAGACCCGUAUGAAAGGUGUCACGAGGGCCCGCCUGUCUCCUACUUCAAGUCUGUGAAAUUGAUCUGCCCGUGCAGAAGCGGGCAUAACAACAUAAGACGAGAAGACCCUGUGGAGCUUAAGACCAAUCAAUCAACCGUGCCUAACAGCCAAUCCACCCUACAGGAAAUAAAAAGCUACAAGCAUAACGAAUUGUGAUUAAAUGUCUUCGGUUGGGGCGACCAUGGAGGAUAGAAAAGCCUCCAAGAGGAAACAGGGGACCAGCUAAAUUGAUCCCUAAGAGCUAAGAGCCACCCCUCUAAGCAACAGAAAACUCUGACCAAUAAUGAUCCAGGCACUAGCCUGAUCAACGAACCAAGUUACCCCAGGGAUAACAGCGCAAUCCUUUCUCAGAGCCCAUAUCGCCGAAAGGGUUUACGACCUCGAUGUUGGAUCAGGACAUCCUGGUGGCGAAAAUUCUACCAAGGGUUCGUUUGUUCAACGAUUAAAGUCCU
rnacentral:rRNA from 1 species